AUGUGUUUGGCAAUGAAUGUCUAAGCUCAAUUGCCGAUGAAGAAUGUAGCAAAAUGUGAUACGCAUUGUGAAUUGCAGAAUUCUGUGAGCCAAUAUGUUUUUGAACGUAACAUGUGCCCUUUGGGUAUGCUUGGGGGUGUGCUUCAUUCAAUACUG
rnacentral:rRNA from 1 species